rnacentral:rRNA from 1 species
AGUGAACGCUGGCGGUAGGCCUAACACAUGCAAGUCGAACGGCAGCACAGUAAGAGCUUGCUCUUACGGGUGGCGAGUGGCGGACGGGUGAGGAAUACAUUGGAAUCUACUUUUUCGUGGGGGAUAACGUAGGGAAACUUACGCUAAUACCGCAUACGACCUACGAGUGAAAGCAGGGGAUCUUCGGACCUUGCGCGAUUGAAUGAGCCGAUGUCGGAUUAGCUAGUUGGCGGGGUAAAGGCCCACCAAGGCGACGAUCCGUAGCUGGUCUGAGAGGAUGAUCAGCCACACUGGAACUGAGACACGGUCCAGACUCCUACGGGAGGCAGCAGUGGGGAAUAUUGGACAAUGGGCGCAAGCCUGAUCCAGCCAUACCGCGUGGGUGAAGAAGGCCUUCGGGUUGUAAAGCCCUUUUGUUGGGAAAGAAAAGCAGCAGGUUAAUACCCCGCUGUUCUGACGGUACCCAAAGAAUAAGCACCGGCUAACUUCGUG